UCACCGCCCCCACCCCCCACUCCGCUCUUCUCAGGCCCGCCAGCACCCACCCAGCCCUAAGUCGUCUGGCUGCGAGCGGGAGGACGCGGGGGCUGGGCUUUCGGCCACCCCUCCCCCUCCCUUCCUCCGCCUCCCUCCCUUUCCCCUCUAUCCUCCUUCCUCCUCGCUCCCCUCCCUCCUCCGUUGGCCCGGCCACGCCCGCCCCUUCCCCUCCCCCGCCUCCUUCCCCUCCCCUCCCUCGUGGCUCAGGCUGCCCGAGGCUGAGUCAUCGCCGCGGACGCUGCCCGGAGAGCUGGCGAGCAGGGCAGAUCUGUAUUAAGGAAUUGAGCAGAAGUAGAGUGUACAGCAGCCUGACACUGGAGGUGAUGGUAGCCUCUCAGGAUCUUUCCCUUGGAGUUGGAGUGGAAUACAGAACUAGGUCUGUCCAGGUUGUCCCUGGGAGAUGCCUUGGAGAAGCCCAGCCCCAGACUUCCAUCCUGAAGAUCUUCAUCCAGGUGUGUUUGGAUUGACUGCUCAGUGCUAGGCACUGUGUUUGCUGCUGAGUGCUGGACAGAGAGGGGAACAAGGCUCAGCCCCUGCCCACAAGGAUCUUGCCAUGCACAACAAAUACACCAUCUGACCAGCUCUCCCACCUGCAGCCUGUGAGCAGCUGCAAGUUUACAGCUUUGACAUCCACUUGAAAGAGCAAUGCUGUGCCUGCUUCCACAGUGUACAGAUUUUAAGUUUACAGUGCAAUGAGUUUUGACAAACAUAAACCCCUAUGAAUUACAAGAUUUUGAUACACAGUCAGCUAAUUUAGAGAAAUUGCAAGAGUCCACAGAGCUGCUGGAAAGAGAAUGGAGUUUGGAGUCAAGAGACCUGGUUACCAAGUCAAGCCUCACAUUAACCAGCUGUGUGACUUUGGGCCUGUGCCCUCGCCUCUCUAGGCCUUGGUUUCUGAUCUGUUCAGUGAAGAGGCUGUCUCUGGGUCCACGUGGCAUAACAGGUAUUGAACAAAGGUCACACAAGAUUCCUGACAUUAUGCAGAGCUACUGUGUCCUGCUGAUAUUUGCAAAAGUGAAUGUGCAUCACCUGGAUCCUGCCAAUCAAAUUGCUGAAGAAGAGAAACUGAAGAAACAAUAACUAUAACAAUAAACAAAGAUGGCAGAAAUCAGCCACACCAAGCCCUACAUCUUGUAGGAAUGUAUCAAAUGCUUAAGAGGAAAUGGAGGCACCAAGAGGGCUCCUGGCUUGCUCAAGCUCACAAAGCAAGGAGGUUGUGGAGCUCAGAUUCUGCCCAGGCCACCUGGCUCAGAGCCCUGGCCCUUCGCCCCCAUGCUACACUGCCUCCUGUUGCACCAUGCUGCUGAGUAAAGAGCUUUGAUUUGACAAAGCUGUUGAUUGACAAGAUGAGCAGCUCUGAGAGGGCGCGAGGCCUUUAUUCUGGGCACUUCGAGUGGAAUCAAGGUGAUGGUGAUCAUUACUGAGCACUGUUUAGGGCAGGUAGGGUUUAGGCAGAGGGCUGGUCAGUUGUCCUGGAAGGUCCCUUCUAACCAGAGAGUGUAGGGUUUGACGAAAUCUCUCACAGAUCCCAAUUCUUUCAGUUCGUGACAUUGACAAGUCCUCCCGGCUCUCAAGCUUCUGGCUUGAACAUCCUCUCCCAGCCCGUCCUGCCUGCCAACCAUCCCCUCCUCGUGGACUCUGGGAUCAGUGAGUUGGGAGAACAGGUGGCUGUGCAUGGAUCAUCCUGGAAAUCUGACAGCAUGGUCUCCAGCCCAGGGACUAGGGAGGAGGGACAGCAGAGCACUAGAUUACAGGGUGUCUGCCACCUGAUUAAAUCAGCACGAGCGUCCAGUGCUGUGGAGAUGCAGCACGCCAGGCUCACUCCUGGGCCCCAGGCCCAGACGUUAGUCACAGAACCGCAGUCAGAGCGCCAAGGGCCUUCAGCAGCCCCUUAUCCAGCCUCUGCAUUUCACAUGUGGGGAUACUGAGGCCCAGAGAGGGGAAGCAACUUGUCAGAGACCACGCAGCAUUCCUUCAGCAAAAUAUUAAGGGUCUGCUGUGCCAAGCACUGUGCUUGUGACUGGGAAUACUAAGGGUGAACAGAAUAGCCAUGAGCUCCAGGCUCACGGUUUACAUGUUAGUGGAGGAAAUGGGAAAAAGCAGAGAUUGUGAUCUGUGCUAUGAAGCACAUGAAGUACUUCAGCCAAGUCGAUCAAGGGAGGUCUCUCUGGGAAGGGGCCAUUUAAGCUGAGGCUUGAAGGAUGAGAAGUGCAUGCUGUUUGUGUGCGUGUGUUGGGAGGAUGUGUUCCAGGCGGUGCCCCCAGGCGGGGAUGAGUUCCCGGCGUUUGAGGAGCUGGCACAGGGCAAGGGCAGGCGAGAGGAGCACAGAGGGGAAAUUUGAGGUGAUUGGAGUCUGGAGCACACAGGGUCUUGUGGGCCGAGAGGAGAGGUCUGGACUUUAUUUCUGUUGCACUCUGAAGCCAUUGGAGGGUUUUAUGCACGGGAGUGGCAGAUGUGCGGUAACUUUUCCUGCUUUUCCCGGUGGAGGGGCUCCUUGGGAGCCCUGUCACCCUGGAGGCUUGCAGAAAACACGGCAGGCAAUGCUAUCAGUGCAAGAUGAGCCCGGCUAAACCUUGUCUUUGGUGAUCUCUGCGCACUUUACCCACAUUAGGUAAUUAGGCCACUCAACAUUACUUGAAGUUCCCUAUUCCUACCAUGUGUCGCAGAUCCAGAGACUCAAGUGCUGUGGGACCCUGUGGGAAUUGGCAAACCUCUCUGAUCCAGUGACUGUCACUGAGUCAGGCAGUCAGGCAGCUUCAUUAGUUUGCCACAGCCUUUCCCUAUUUCGUUUCUGUGACCAGCACUCAUCUUCUUUGCCACAGAGGUGUGAAAUGUUAGAAACUACCAUCAAGACUGCUCGGAUGGAAAGAAGUUUAGUUCUAGAUGGCCAUAGUUAGGCCGUAGUUCGUACUUUGGCUCCUGUGACCACACCUCCUUCCUGGUGCCGUGAGCAGUGCAGUGAGCCUUCAAGGAUGAUGACACAGAUCAGUAAUCCAAUCAUCAAACCUUGACAAUGUGACCUCCUUGAGUCACAUGACCUCAUCUGCGAUAAAGGGCAGCUCAUUUCUUUCCUCUUCUCAACCAAGGAAAAGGCCUGAGGAAGUCUUGGCGGGGAAAGUCAUAAACAUCCCUGAAGGUCGCCAAAUGCCAAAUCAAUCUGCCUUACCUCCUACCCUCCCUUUUAAUCUAAACAAUCCCCACUCUCCAAUUUUAAGUCCUAACUCAAGUACAGCCACCUCCAAGAAGUCUUCCCUAACUGCCUUUUCCCCGUCCCUCUGGCCUGUGCUCCUCUCUGCCUCCCCUUUAGUCUCCUGAACUUGUCUGUACCAUGUAUUUAGUGACUGGCAUGGCAUCAGCCUGUGCAGAGAUCUAAAUGAGGGUAGUUGGCUGGGAGUAACAAACACCAGAGGAGGCUGGGACCUGAGGCUCACUAGUGUGUGCUGGGCCCAUCUAAUCACAGUUAAACUCAAUUAAAAAAAAAACAAUACUGUGUGGGCCAAACAAAACAUGCUGUGGGCUGACAUUGGCCAGUGGGCUGGCAGCUUGCAACAGCUAGAAUGUUAUCUGGAGGAGAAGGCAUUGCACUUAGAAUCUUUAGAAGUCCUGGAGCAGCCACCAACUAGCAGUGUGAGUCAGAUAAAUACCUAAUCUUUCUGAGCCCCAGUUUCCUUAUCUAUAAUUAGCGUAACACUGGCUCUGCUUUCUUCAUGAAACUUGAAGAAUGGUUGCCUUGACUCUAUGCCAGUGACCACUAGCCUUUUUAAUAAUGACAGACAUUUAUUCAGCACUUACUAUUUGUCAGGCACUGUUCUAAGCAUUUUACAAGUAUUAACUUACUUAGUCCCCACAAUAACCCUAAGAGGUAGGUGCUGUUAUCAUCUCCAUUUUACAGAUGACAAAACUGAGGCAAAGAGAGGUGAAAGAACUUGCCCAAGGUUACAGAGGUGGUGGGUGGCAGAGCUGGGACUAUAACACCCUUACACAAAUACUGGUUCAUUUAACGUUCUCUGAAUUUUAUCAAGCAAGUAUUUCCCUUUUCACCGUU